UGAGGGAUAUUGGUCAAUGGGCGCAAGCCUGAACCAGCGACGCCGCGUGGGUGAAGAAGGUCUUCGGAUCGUAAAGCCCUUUUCCCACUGAAGAGGAAGGACGGUAGGUGGGGAAGAAGUCUCGGCUAACUACGUGCCAGCAGCCGCGGUAAAACGUAGGAGACAAGCGUUAUCCGGAGUUACUGGGCGUAAAGGGCGUGCAGGUGGCGUCUUAAGUCUGUUGUGAAAGCGCCUGGCUUAACCGGGCGAGGCCAAUGGAGACUGAGACGCUGGAGGACGGCGGAGGGGUGUGGAAUUCCGGGUGUAGUGGUGAAAUGCGUAGAGAUCCGGAGGAACACCAGAGGCGAAGGCGGCACUCUAAGCCGUACCUGACACUGAGACGCGACAGCACGGGGAGCAAACG
rnacentral:rRNA from 1 species